CAUGUACUUCCUCCGUCCAGAAAUAUUUGUCGUAAAAAUGACUAAAAAUGGAUGUAUCUAACACUAAAAUACGUCCCGAUACAUCCAUUCCUCCGACAAGUAUUUCCGGAUGGAGGGAGUACUGU
rfam:Triticum aestivum genome assembly, contig: Triticum_aestivum_CS42_TGACv1_scaffold_130021_2BL